AUCCUGCGGGAGAUCGCUGCUAUUAGGUUUUGUUAAGCCAUGCAAGUCGGAGGGGUAUCUUCGGAUAUCACAGGCGGAAGGCUCAGUAACACGUCAAUAAUCUAACUUACGGCCUGGGAUAACCUUGGGAAACUGAGGCUAAUACCGGAUAGGAGAUUGCCACUGGAAGGUGCUUUCUCUUAAAAGCAAUGCCGUAAGAUGAGUUGGCGGCUGAUUAGGCUGUUGGUGAGGUAAAGGCUCACCAAACCUGAGAUCAGUAGGGGAGAUGAGAGUCUACGCCCCGAGAAGGGCACUGAGAUAAGGGCCCUAGUCCUAAGGGAUGCAGCAGGCUAGAAUCCUUUACAAUGCGCGCAAGCGUGAUAAGGGGAACCUAAGUGCUCACUUAUAGUGGGCUUUUGUCAAGUGUAAUAUCUUGACGAAUAAGUGGUGGGUAAGACUGGUGCCAGCCGCCGCGGUAACACCAGCGCCACGAGUGGUGAUCAUAUUUAUUGGGUCUAAAGCGUCUGUAGCCGAUUUAGUCAGUCUUUUGUGAAACUGUAGGGCUCAACCUUACAACGUGCAAAGGAAACUGCUAGGUUAGGGACCGGGAGAGGUAAUGAGAACUUCUUGGGAAGCGGUAAAAUGUUUUAAUCCUUGAAGGACUACCUAUGGCGAAGGCACAUUACCAGAACGGAUUCGACGGUGAGAGACGAAAGCUAGGGGAGCGAUCAGGAUUAGAUACCCUAGUAGUCCUAGCUGUAAACGCUGCCAACUAUGUGUGACAUGUUCUUCGAGGACAUGUCGUGCCGGAGCGAAGGCGUUAAGUUGGCCACCUGGGAAGUACGGCCGCAAGACUGAAACUUAAAGGAAUUGGCGGGGGAGCACUACAAGGGGUGCGGCAUGCGGUUUAAUUUAACUCUACCCAGAAAAUCUCACCAGCAGCGACGGCAGGAUGAAGGUCAGAUUAAAGGUCUUACCUAACAAGCCGAGAGAUGGUGCAUGGCCGCCGUCAGUUCGUGCCGUAAGGUGUCCUGUUAAGUCAGGUAACGAACAAGACCUAUGUCUAUAGUUGCUAGCGAAUCCUGCGGGAUGAUCGAGCACACUAUAGAGACUGCCUUGGUAACAAGGGGGAAGGCGUAGGCAACGGCAGGUCUGUAUGCCUCGAAUCUGCUGGGCUACACGCGUGCAACAAUGGUAGGGACAAUGGGAUACGACUCCGAAAGGAGAAGUCAAUCCUCGAAACCCUAUCCUAGUCUAGAUUGAGGGCUGUAACUCGCCCUCAUGACACCGGAAUCCCUAGUAAUCGUAUGUCAACAGCGUACGGUGAAUAUGUCCCUGCUCCUUGCACACACUGCCCGUCACUCCAAUCGAGCAGGGUUCGGGUGAGACUUAGCCUUUUGGCUAAAGCGAACUUGGACUCAGUAAGAAGGGAUAAGUCGUCACAAGGUA
rnacentral:rRNA from 1 species